AUCGCUUCUUGGCCUUUUGGCUAAGAUCAAGUGUAGUAUCUGUUCUUACCAGUUAAUAUCUGAUAUGUCCUCUAUCCAAGGAUAAUAUAUUAAUUGGAUUUUUAAAAUUAGGUCUUAUAUCCAUUUGGACUUAAGUUUUGUGCAUGGUGAUAGACAUGGAUCUAUCUGCAUUCUUCUACAUGCCAGCAUCCAGUUAUG
rfam:Mesocricetus auratus contig126973, whole genome shotgun sequence.